rnacentral:rRNA from 1 species
UAAAUUGAUGUUCCGCAAAAAACCUUACCACAGCUUGAAUAUUUAUACUUUUCAUAUAUUUACAGGAGUUGCACGGCUGUCUUCAGUUAAUGUCGUGAGAUUUUGGUUAGAUCCAUUAAAUUAACGCAAGCCCUUAUUUUAUUUAAAUGUUUUUUAAUUAAAAAAGCAAUAAAUAAAAUAGUUCCCCACUAUAUUGGAUAUGAUAACAGGGAUUAAGACAAGUCAUCAUGGCCUUAAUGCUGU